rnacentral:rRNA from 1 species
UUAUGCGAGUGUUAAAGCGGAGUGCUGUGAUGCUGGGCCCGUCAAGGGGCAUGUGCUCGCGCCUCCCUCGUCCACUCAACCCCUGUGCACUAUCAGCAGGUGCGUGUCGCGUUCCGUGCGAUGGGAGCGCGCGAUCCGCUUGUUAAUG